UCUUGGCACUUGGUGGUUUGAAGGGCCAACGCGCAGGAUGCUUUAGCAAARCCGGAAUAUUUCUGACUGCCAAAAAUUUAGCGCACAAAUAUUUUAGUAAAUUCCUGCGAAACUUGAUCAUUCUGUGCUCUACGCUGUACUACUCAUGGUAAACAUUAGCGAUGUCUACAACUGUGUCCACAUCUUAUAGAUCAUAUUGGUAUCGGUACGUUGAUAAAUUGAAAAAGUGAUGAUCACUCUCUGAGUCAAAAUGGUACAGGGUACUGAGCAUGGUCCCACUUUAAAAGGAGAAGACAGUAAGCCAACCUUUCCACCUGUCUUGGUGACUGUUGACGAAGAUUUGGAGGAAACUCAUUACAUAGAUUCAUUGAAUUUACCAUAAUUUACAUAACAACUAUUUACUAGAUAAACCAAUCAACACUGCCGAUGAACUUACAAUAUGUAGGGCUGCAAAUAUUUAUUUGUUGGCAACACAAUCAACUUAAAAAAGUGGCUACACUCUUGUGGCAAAUCUGCCCACUUUACAACUGUAUUGGAAAUAAAACACUUUUGGGGGUUUCUUAAUUCCCAUCUUUUCAGA